ACUCCUACGGGAGGCAGCAGUGGGGAAUAUUGCACAAUGGGCGCAAGCCUGAUGCAGCCAUGCCGCGUGAAUGAUGAAGGCCUUAGGGUUGUAAAAUUCUUUCGCUAGGGAUGAUAAUGACAGUACCUAGUAAAGAAGCCCCGGCUAACUUCGUGCCAGCAGCCGCGGUAAUACGAAGGGGCUAGCGUUGUUCGGAAUUACUGGGCGUAAAGCGCACGUAGGCGGGUUAUUAAGUCAGAUGUGAAAUCCCGAGGCUCAACCUCGGAACUGCAUUUGAAACUGGUAACCUAGAGAUCAGGAGAGGUUAGUGGAAUACCGAGUGUAGAGGUGAAAUUCGUAGAUAUUCGGUGGAACACCAGUGGCGAAGGCGACUAACUGGACUGAUACUGACGCUGAGGUGCGAAAGUGUGGGGAGCAAACAGGAUUAGAUACCCUGGUAGGUC
rnacentral:rRNA from 1 species